rnacentral:rRNA from 1 species
GACGAACGCUGGCGGCGUGCUUAACACAUGCAAGUCGAACGGUGAAGCGCCUUCCUUUUUGGUGGGUGUGGAUGAGUGGCGAACGGGUGAGUAACACGUGAGUAACCUGCCCCCUUCUUCUGGAUAACCGCAUGAAAGUGUGGCUAAUACGGGAUAUUCUGGGUCUGUCGCAUGAUGGGUCUGGGAAAGAUAUUGUUUCGGUGGGGGAUGGGCUCGCGGCCUAUCAGCUUGUUGGUGGGGUGAUGGCCUACCAAGGCGGUGACGGGUAGCCGGCCUGAGAGGGUGGACGGUCACACUGGGACUGAGACACGGCCCAGACUCCUACGGGAGGCAGCAGUGGGGAAUAUGGCACAAUGGGCGCAAGCCUGAUGCAGCGACGCCGCGUGAGGGAUGGAGGCCUUCGGGUUGGGAACCUCUUUCGCCAGUGAAGCAGGCCUGCCUCGUUUGUGGGUGGGUUGACGGUAGCUGGAUAAGAAGCGCCGGCUAACUACGU